rnacentral:rRNA from 1 species
AUGAAUCUGCCUGGUAGUGGGGGAUAACGUUCGGAAACGGACGCUAAUACCGCAUACGUCCUACGGGAGAAAGCAGGGGACCUUCGGGCCUUGCGCUAUCAGAUGAGCCUAGGUCGGAUUAGCUAGUUGGUGAGGUAAUGGCUCACCAAGGCGACGAUCCGUAACUGGUCUGAGAGGAUGAUCAGUCACACUGGAACUGAGACACGGUCCAGACUCCUACGGGAGGCAGCAGUGGGGAAUAUUGGACAAUGGGCGAAAGCCUGAUCCAGCCAUGCCGCGUGUGUGAAGAAGGUCUUCGGAUUGUAAAGCACUUUAAGUUGGGAGGAAGGGCAGUUACCUAAUACGUGAUUGUUUUGACGUUACCGACAGAAUAAGCACCGGCUAACUCUGUGCCAGCAGCCGCGGUAAUACAGAGGGUGCAAGCGUUAAUCGGAAUUACUGGGCGUAAAGCGCGCGUAGGUGGUUUGUUAAGUUGGAUGUGAAAUCCCCGGGGCUCAACCUGGGAAACUGCAUUCAAAACUGACUGACUAGAGUGUGGUAGAGGGUGGGUGCAAUUUCCUGUGUA